AAGCCGUUGCGAUGAUCCCGACCGGAGCGAGCAUCAUGGUUGGCGGAUUUAUGGGCGUCGGAACGCCGGAGCGCCUUCUUGACGAAGUCGUCAGGCAGCAAAAGACCGGCCUUUCGGUGAUCAGCAACGAUGCUGCAGUCCCUGGCAAAGGCAUAGGCAAGUUGUUCGAUGCGGCUCUCGUCUCGCGCCUUACUGCAAGUCACAUCGGCCUCAAUCCGAAGGCGCAGCAGCAAAUGCUGGCCAAUCGGAUCGCCGUCGAUCU
rnacentral:misc_RNA from 1 species